rnacentral:misc_RNA from 1 species
UCCGGUUUGACACCGGCAGUCUCGCUAGAGUCCCCGGCAUGACCCGCUGGCAACUAGCGAUAGGGGUUUCGCUCGUUAAGGGACUUAACCCGACACUUCACAGCACGAGCUGACGACAGCCAUGCAGCACCUGUGCACGUUCCACUCAGAGAGCGUCAUUCGUCUUUCAACGAACUAAUCCGUGCAUGUCAAGCCCAGGAUAAGGUUCUUCGCGUUGCUUCGAAUUAAGCCACAUGCUCCACCGCUUGUGUGAGCCCCCGUCAAUUCCUUUGAGUUUUAGCCUUGCGACCGUACUCCCCAGGCGGUGCACUUAACACUUUUGCUUCGACGCGGAUGGUGUCAGAACCUCCCGCAUCCAGUGCACAUCGUUUACGGCGUGGACUAC